rnacentral:lncRNA from 1 species
GGGAAGGCUGCUCCUUUAAGGUUCCCGUAUCUUCCUGUAGGGCUGCUCAGUGCCCAGCUUAGAGGACCGGGAAUGGGUAAUCACAGGCCGUACGCUGGAGGCUGGAGCCGCGGUAGGACGGCUCGCCUCGCUGCGGUUUGUGGUGACGGCAACGGAGAAAGCAGUGUGGCGCAAGCGGUAGGAGGAGGAAAAUAGUUUUGGGAUAGAUGGAGGGAAAAAGAAAGACGGGGGAGAAAGAAAAGAUGAUGAGUAAAAUGUGUUUGGGUACAUGGACGGGGGAAAGAGGGUGACCAGGAGGAGGAGAAAAGAGGGUGGCGAGAGGGAGCAGGGAAAGAGGGUUGGGGAAAAAAUGGAAAAAUAGUUUGGGGUAGAUGGAGGACAAAACAGAGUGGAGCGCAGGAUAGGGCAAAGAGGAUG